rnacentral:lncRNA from 1 species
AAAAUAUUAUCUUUCUUCAUGUUGAUUAUUACUUUUCAUUAUAACAAAAAUUACUUUGAAAUAACUUGAAAUAAAUUCAAUUUUUAAAAACAUUGAACUAAAUAAAAUAUAGAAAAAUGAUAUAAAAAACAUUAUAAUAAAAAGCUGAAAACAAAAUUAAAAUAAACAAAAAAAUAUUGAAACAAUAAAAUUAAUAACAUUAUACAGGAAAGCAGGAAAAAAAAUGAAUUAGAAAUAAAAGAGCAAAAAAAGCAGCAAAAAAUUGAAUUAGAAAUAAAUGUGGCAAAUUGGGGGUUCGAACCCACCCCCUCGGAGAUAGUGAGCCGAAAAUAGAACCAACUCCACCAAACAGCG